rnacentral:rRNA from 1 species
AGUGAACGCUGGCGGCAGGCCUAACACAUGCAAGUCGAGCGGCAGCGGGUCCCCGCGAGGGGAUGCCGGCGAGCGGCGGACGGGUGAGGAACACAUCGGAAUCUGCCUGGUUGUGGGGGAUAACGUAGGGAAACUUACGCUAAUACCGCAUGCGACCCUGAGUCGACGGACUGGGGGUGAAAGUGAGGGACCUUCGGGCCUCACGCGACCAGAUGAGCCGAUGUCGGAUUAGCUAGUUGGCGGGGUAACGGCCCGCCAAGGCGACGAUCCGUAGCUGGUCUGAGAGGAUGAUCAGCCACACUGGGACUGAGACACGGCCCAGACUCCUACGGGAGGCAGCAGUGGGGAAUC